AUACGUAGGUGGCAAGCGUUAUCCGGAAUUAUUGGGCGUAAAGCGCUCGCAGGCGGUUCUUUAAGUCUGAUGUGAAAUCUUGCGGCUCAACCGCAAACGUGCAUUGGAAACUGGAGGACUUGAGUGCAGAAGAGGAGAGUGGAAUUCCACGUGUAGCGGUGAAAUGCGUAGAGAUGUGGAGGAACACCAGUGGCGAAGGCGACUCUCUGGUCUGUAACUGACGCUGAGGAGCGAAAGCGUGGGGAGC
rnacentral:rRNA from 1 species